rnacentral:rRNA from 1 species
UACGUAGGGUGCGAGCGUUAAUCGGAAUUACUGGGCGUAAAGCGUGCGCAGGCGGUUUUGUAAGCCAGAUGUGAAAUCCCCGGGCUUAACUUGGGAAUGGCAUUUGGGACUGCAAGGCUUGAGUGCGGCAGAGGAGACUGGAAUUCCUGGUGUAGCAGUGAAAUGCGUAGAUAUCAGGAGGAACACCGAUGGCGAAGGCAGGUCUCUGGGCUGACACUGACGCUCAUGCACGAAAGCGUGGGGAGCAAACAGG